rnacentral:rRNA from 1 species
AUACGGAGGAUCCGAGCGUUAUCCGGAUUUAUUGGGUUUAAAGGGUGCGCAGGCGGCCAUUUAAGUCAGCGGUUAAAUCGUGGGGCUCAACCCCAUUCUGCCGUUGAUACUGGGUGGCUUGAUUGCGGUCGAGGUUGGCGGAAUUCGUUGUGUAGCGGUGAAAUGCAUAGAUAUGACGAAGAACACCGAUUGCGUAGGCAGCUGACCUGACCGCAAAUGACGCUCAUGCACGAAAGUGCGGGGAUCGAACAGGAUUAGAUACCCUGGUAGUCCGCACAGUAAACGAUGAAUACUUGUUUUCGGCGAUAUAAUGUCGGAGGCAAAGCGAAAGCGAUAAGUAUUCCACCUGGGGAGUACGCCGGCAACGGUGAAACUCAAAGGAAUUGACGGGG